rnacentral:rRNA from 1 species
AAAGCAUGGGGAGCGAACAGGAUUAGAUACCCUGGUAGUCCAUGCCGUAAACCGUUGGGCACCUAGGUGUGGGGGACAUUCCACGUUUUUCCGCGCCGUAGCUAACGCAUUAAGUGCCCCGCCUGGGAGUACGGCCGCAAGGCUAAAACUCAAAGGAAUUGACGGGGGCCCGCACAAGCGGCGGAGCAUGCGGAUUAAUUCGAUGCAACGCGAAGAACCUUACCAAGGCUUGACAUUCACCGGACCGCCCCAGAGAUGGGGUUUCCCUUCGGGGCUGGUGGACAGGUGGUGCAUGGUUGUCGUCAGCUCGUGUCGUGAGAUGUUGGGUUAAGUCCCGCAACGAGCGCAACCCUCGUUCUAUGUUGCCAGCACGUGAUGGUGGGGACUCAUAGGAGACUGCCGGGGUCAACUCGGAGGAAGGUGGGGAUGACGUCAAAUCAUCAUGCUCUUUAUGUCUUGGGCUUCACGCAUGCUACAAUGGCCGGUACAAAGGGUUGCCCGCAUACUGUGAGGUGGAGCUAAACUCCCAAAACACAGCCGGUAACCUCAGUUCUGGAUUUAGAGGUCUGCAACUCGACCUCAUGACAGUCGCUAGUAAUAAGAUUCAACCUGCGGUGAUACGUUCCCGGGCCUUGUACACAGCC